AUAUGUAACAUAUAACAUAUACUAGAUUUACUUAUACACGUGUGAGUAUAUCUAUAUACACAUAUAUAUAUUUGUUCAUUUUAAAUUAUAUAUACAACUACAUACAAAAAACCACAGUGACUGCUAAGAGACCUUAAAUAAAUAAGGCAAAAGAGAGGCCAGCGUUAUAAGGAAAUGUCUCGUAUUUGGAGAAACGGGCUGAGCUCAGAGGUGAGAGGAGCAGCCAGGGCUGUAGCAGUCUAGUUCAGAGGGGUCGACCAAAGGGAAGCCUAAGCAAUUCCAACAACCUUUUAGGCUAGACUCCUCUAAUGAUGGUCCCACUCCUCUGUUAUCACUUGAGAAGGAAGAAAAGACGAAAAAAGCUGAAGCAUAGAGAGAAGCAAGCCUCGUUCAAAGGCACACCUGCUCUCCCUGGUGUCGUGGGGCAGUGCAUCCCCGGGGCCAUGCACACCCUCUCCAGGGCUGCUUCAGAAACAACUCCACCAUUAGAGCUAUUUACUACAUCUGCUUCUUUUGCCCUUUGCUUUACUGUCUCUGAGUUUUGCCACCAGAAAGAGCUGUCUGCUGCAUUCGGUACAGUACAUUUUUUUUUAUAGCACCAGCCCUACUUUACAUUAUGCUUGUUGGAUCUUUCUGAAACCUAAGUGUUAGAAUAUCCUAAUCUUGCUCUACAUUUUAUAGCUGAAAGAUAAACCUGUUGUUUAAUGAAAUCCACAACACUACAGGAAUAGUAACCAUGGUGUUUCUUCAUUUCAAAGAACGGAUGAAAUCUAACAUCUGGUGUAACUGUACAAACCUGACCUUAGGUCACAGUCUUCAAGACUCUUAGCACUCCAAGACUCUUCUAAACCUAUGAUAACUUAAAUUUAUUUUCCUCUGGGCACCGUGAAACCAGGCUCAUUCAGACUUGACUCUUUGGACAGAGAUACUGACCGGGAUUUCUGGACACACCAAGAGCGAAUGGGAAAUGCUUUCUUUCCUAAUCCAUACACAAGGUGCUGGUCCCUUUGGCCAGAGGAGGAAACGAAGGCAUAAGGAAGCACCAGAAAUCUGCAACUGAAGACAUAAGGUUCAGACUAGGAAGUGGAACCAGAGGCAUCCGUGGUCAGCAAUGAAAGCACAGGAAUGGGUUGGCUGGAAGACAGAAAUCCACAGCGUCUUCUCCCAGCACCACAAGCUGAGGAUAACAGGAGAAACUCGGGGGAGCAGUCACUCUUGUGGGAACCAGAAGCCUCCCAGAGCAGCAGAGGGCUGGCAAUCAGAUUCUGUGCCUUAAGGAUGCAGAAGACCCACUGAGCUGUGAACGGAAGCACCUUGGUAGGACAGGUCUGCCAACACAGAAGGCCUGUGAAUCCGCUCGAAAGGACAGCCAGUGGUUGCUCUUCCAGCAGGCUACAGAUAAAACCCUUUGGCCCAAAGUCUUCAUUGUGCUAAAGGGGCCAUGCCGCAUACCCACCUCUAAAGGCCCAGAACACCUGGUUUCAGGCACAACAGGAAGAUCAGAACAUACCUUAUCAUAAAUAUGCAUAUGUGACACAAGAGCCUGCUGCCUUCUUGGAGAGAUGCCAUAAUUGACGGAACAAAGUACAACAAAACUUCACAAUCACUGGUGGAUCAGAAGAACAGAGCUCAUUGAGGUAUGAGUCAUUUCCAUCAAAAGAGGAGGAUGCCUUGAUCUGUGUGUGAGUGAGCACUGGAACAGCAGCUGUUGGAGCAAAUACAAACAUUCAUGCCAAGGAUUGCAAGGAUUGGAGUUUAUCUAAUAUGUAAACAACCACCUGCCGCAAAUGAAAAAUUACAUCCACAACCACCUGAAUAAAAUAACCAUGAGGGGGGAAAUGAAGAGACAGAUUUAUUAUUGAUUUGUUAGAACUUCGGAAUCAAACAUCUCUUUUUGCAACAGAACAAUAGGAUACACAAGGAAAUAGUACUCCUUGUCCCAGACCUGCUCAGCAGCAUUUCUUUUGCCCUAGUGUUUUGGUUUUUUUUUUUCUUUGCUAAGUCUGGUGGAGAUGAAAACACCAGCCCAAAGAUGAUAAUUAAAAGCUAAAUGAAACUACAUACAGCUGUGCUGCUACAUGGCUAAUGAACAUGCAAAUAUAUACAUAUGACAAGGACAUAAUGCAGACUGGCUGCCUUAAGUAGUUAGUGCAGAUUUCCAAGAGCUAGAAAUGCUAUUGAUUUUAACUGUGCUAAACUUCC